rnacentral:rRNA from 1 species
UACGGAGGGUGCAAGCGUUAUCCGGAUUCACUGGGUUUAAAGGGUGCGUAGGUGGGAAUGUAAGUCAGUGGUGAAAUCUCCGUGCUUAACAUGGAAACUGCCAUUGAUACUAUGUUUCUUGAAUUUUCCGGAGGUAAGCGGAAUAUGUCAUGUAGCGGUGAAAUGCUUAGAUAUGACAUAGAACACCGAUAGCGAAGGCAGCUUGCUACACAAUUAUUGACACUGAGGCUCGAAAGCGUGGGGAUCAAACAGG